rnacentral:rRNA from 1 species
UGCAGCAAUGCAAGGCAGACGGCUCACUAACACGUAGUCAACCUAACCUAUGGAACGGGGAUAACCUCGGGAAACUGAGAAUAAUACCCGAUAGAUCAUGAUACCUGGAACGGUUUAUGGUUCAAAUGAUUUAUCGCCAUAGGAUGGGACUGCGGUCUAUCAGCUUGUUGGUGAGGUAAUGGCCCCACCAAGGCUAUAACAGAUACGGGCUCUGAGAGGAGGGGCCCGGAGAUGGGUACUGAGACACGGAACCCAGGUCCUAUGGGGCGCAGCAGGCGAGAAACCUUUGCAAUGUGCGAAAGCACGACAAGGUUAAUCCGAGUGAUUCCUGCUAAAGGAAUCUUUUGUUAGUCAUAAAACCACUGAUGAAUAAGGGGUGGGCAAGUUCUGGUGUCAGCCGCCGCGGUAAUACCAGCACCUCGUAGUGGUCAGGAGGUUUAUUGGGCCUAAAGCAUCCGUAGCCGGCUGCUCAAGUUUCCGGUUAAAUCACACGCUUAACGUUAUGGGCUGCCGGAAAUACUGUUCAAGCUAGGGAGUGGGAGAAGGUAGACGGUACUCUGAUAGGAAGGGGUAAAAUCCUUUUGAUCUAUUUGAUGACCACCUGUGGCGAAGGCGGUCUACCAGAACACGUUCGACGGUUGAGGGAUGAAAGCUGGGGGAGCAAACCGGAUUAGAUACCCGGGUAGUCCCAGCUGUAAACGAUGCAGACUCGGUGAUGCAUUGGCUUAUGGCCAGUGCAGUGCCGCAGGGAAGCCGUUAAGUUUGCCGCCUGGGAAGUGGCGUACGCAAGUAUGAAACUUAAAGGAAUUGGCGGGGGAGCGCCACAAGGGGUGAAGCCUGACGGUUCAUUCAUGGAGUCAACGCCGGA